UGUAAUUCCAUAUUACAAGAAGGUUGAGGUACUGGUCCGUAUAUAAAUUGAAACCGUUAAAAUAUAUUUUCUCUAAGUGUUCUCUGAGUGUGCCAAGUGCUGUGCAGGUAGGAACUGUCCUCACUGAUUUUUCACCCUCAACAAGCCGAUUCUAUAACUGUCCAUCACCUUAGAACAAUCUCCAAACAAUCUGCAGACAAGCCAAGACCUUUGGCAAGCACCGCAGCCUGUUUACUGUGGCGCACAAUAUAUAUCAGCUAUCAAGAAGCCUUUUCCCCAUAUCUCAAUGGUUGUUUGUCAAGGCGUAACAUUAGGUUGGUAAUUGACUCUCCUGUUCCCUUUAAAACUCCAGUCUACCCCAUCACUUUGUGUUAGUAUUGGGAAGAUAUUUAGUUUAUGAAAAGUGAGAAAUACAUACGGUGCUAGAGGGGCUGAAAAGCAUAAGGUGCUAGCUGAUCAAUGUAAGUUGGGUAGUUCCAUCGGCCCGGUGGGUUGCUCUUCUCUUCUAUGUGAUAAGCAGAUAUUGCUAAGGGUUGCAUGAAGGAAAAGGUCUUGGGCUUGCAUCGUGAUAACUGUUUUCUGGGUCUACAUUA